rnacentral:rRNA from 1 species
UACCAGCUCCCUGAGUGGUAAGGACGAUUAUUUGGCCUAAAGCGUCCGUAGCCGGCUUAUCAAGUCUCUUGUUAAACCCAAUGAUUCAAUCAUUGAUCUGCAAGAGAUACUGUUAUGCUAGAGGACGGGAGAGGUCGACGGUAGUCCAGGGGUAGGGGUGAAAUCCUAUAAUCCUUGGAGGACCACCAGUGGCGAAGGCGGUCGACUAGAACGUGCCUGACGGUGAGGGACGAAAGCUGGGGGGAGCGAACCGGAUUAGAUACCCGGGUAGUCCCAGCUGUAAACGAUGCGGGCUAGGUGUUGGGGUAGCUACGAGCUACUCCAGUGCCGCAGAGAAGUUGUUAAGCCCGCCGCCUGGGGGAGUACGGCCGCAGGGGCUGAAACUUAAAGGAUUGGCGGGGGAGCACCGACGAAGGGGUGAAGGCUGGCGGUUU